GUAGGGCUCCUGCACGCUCAGAGUGGCCUUGGCCAGGAAGUCCAGGGUUUCCGCAGGCAGAGUGUAUGAACAAGGUACUGAGAAGAUCACAUACUGCAUGUCCUCCUAAAACCUGGUCCUGGCAUAACCUUCUAAGCUGUUUUAUUCAGGUUUGGCAGAUACAUCAAGCCAGUUCAUUAAUGCACAGAUGAUUCCUUCACAUUAAGAAAGACACGUUGGAGCACCAUAAAUGUCAAGGCAGUUAUUACACACAAAAAGCAUAAAAUGGCAACCAUCAAAAGAUUCAUAGCCAAAAGGGACUUGCCUUAUCUCAGUUGAGGCUUUGGACUUGGAACUUUGAGAAUAACCAGCAAUGUUCCAGAAAUUAUCUGCUCUCUCGCCCUGGUCUCAACUUGCAGAAGAUGGGAAGCAGAGCUCCCAGCCUGCCCAAGAUGAA
rnacentral:lncRNA from 1 species